rnacentral:tRNA from 1 species
CAAAGGGUAGUUUAAUGUAGUAAUUUUAGCUUUGGGAGCUAUAGGUGAGAGUUGAAGUCUUUCCCCUUUGA